GGGUAUAGGAUAGUUAAUAGACAACAAUUAACAAGAUAACAGUAGCAAUGAGGAGAUUUGAGGUCUCCUGGCCUGGCC